AGCUUUGCACAGGGGCAGUAUUGUAGUCAGUGAGGUUUAUCCGAGGCGUGAUCAAUGCUAAUUGAAGACUUUUCCCAGUACCCCACCAUGACAGCUUGAAAUGUAGUUGACAUUGGCAAUUUUUGACAGUCUCUACAAAGA
rnacentral:snRNA from 1 species